rnacentral:rRNA from 1 species
AUUGAACGCUGGCGGCAGGCCUAACACAUGCCAGUCGAGCGGAUGAAGGGAGCUUGCUCCUGGAUUCAGCGGCGGACGGGUGAGUAAUGCCUAGGAAUCUGCCUGGUAGUGGGGGAUAACGUCCGGAAACGGGCGCUAAUACCGCAUACGUCCUGAGGGAGAAAGUGGGGGAUCUUCGGACCUCACGCUAUCAGAUGAGCCUAGGUCGGAUUAGCUAGUUGGUGGGGUAAAGGCCUACCAAGGCGACGAUCCGUAACUGGUCUGAGAGGAUGAUCAGUCACACGGGACAGGGAACACGGUCCAGACCCCUACGGGAGGCAGACGGGGGGAAAUUUGGAAAAGGGGCGAAAGCCUGAUCCAGCCAUGCCGGGUGGGUGAAGAAGGUCUUCGGAUUGUAAAGCCCUUUAAGUUGGGAGGAAGGGCAGUAAAUUAAUACCUUGCUGUUUGGACGUUACCAACAGAAUAAGCGCCGGCUAACUUCGU